UACGUAGGGGGCGAGCGUUGUCCGGAGUUACUGGGCGUAAAGCGCUUGUAGGCGGUCCACCAAGUUUGGGGUGACAGUUGCCGACUUAAUCGGCAAAGUGCCUCAAAGACUGGCGGACUUGAGGGCCACAGAGGGACAUGGAACUCCAGGUGUAGUGGUGAAAUGCGCAGAUAUCGGGAAGAACACCCGUGGCGAAGGCGGCUCUCUGGGACGGUACUGACGCUGAGACGCGAAAGCGUGGGGAGCGAACAGG
rnacentral:rRNA from 1 species